rnacentral:misc_RNA from 1 species
GUCGUAACAAGGUAGCCGUAGGGGAACCUGCGGCUGGAUCACCUCCUUAAAUACAUUGCGUGAUUGGCAAGAAUUCACAACAAGUUGUUCUUUGGUAGAUGCGAAAACGGGUCUAUAGCUCAGUUGGUUAGAGCACCGUGUUGAUAACGCGGGGGUCAUAAGUUCAAGUCUUAUUAGACCCACCAUACACAUGGGGUUAUAGCUCAGUUGGUAGAGCGCCUGCCUUGCACGCAGGAGGUCAGGAGUUCGACUCUCCUUAACUCCACCAUUUUCUAGCAUCAAAGCAUACAUAAGCAAUUUAUGAUAAGAUUACUUAUCUAUGCUUUAUUAUUAUAAACUGACGAAGUUUAUAUCACUAUUUAACAACAUGAUUAUGAGUCUGGGUUGAUUGUUUAUUUCCAACUAAACAAUCAACCACUAAAGUAAAGAGAACUGAAUCAAGCGUAAACAUAGGUGAAUCGUUACACAUUACCCAUAAGACCCCUUGGGGUUGUAUGGUCAAGUAAUGAAGUGCACAUGGUGGAUGCCUUGGCAGUCAGAGGCGAUGAAAGACGUGACAGCCUGCGAUAAGCGUCGGUGAGGUGGCAAUAUCCUGUGACCCGGCGAUUU